GAUGAACGCUGGCGGCGUGCCUAAUACAUGCAAGUCGAGCGAACGGACGAGAAGCUUGCUUCUCUGAUGUUAGCGGCGGACGGGUGAGUAACACGUGGAUAACCUACCUAUAAGACUGGGAUAACUUCGGGAAACCGGAGCUAAUACCGGAUAAUAUUUUGAACCGCAUGGUUCAAAAGUGAAAGACGGUCUUGCUGUCACUUAUAGAUGGAUCCGCGCUGCAUUAGCUAGUUGGUAAGGUAACGGCUUACCAAGGCAACGAUGCAUAGCCGACCUGAGAGGGUGAUCGGCCACACUGGAACUGAGACACGGUCCAGACUCCUACGGGAGGCAGCAGUAGGGAAUCUUCCGCAAUGGGCGAAAGCCUGACGGAGCAACGCCGCGUGAGUGAUGAAGGUCUUCGGAUCGUAAAACUCUGUUAUUAGGGAAGAACAUAUGUGUAAGUAACUGUGCACAUCUUGACGGUACCUAAUCAGAGAGCCACGGCUAACUAC
rnacentral:rRNA from 1 species